AUUUUUUUUAAACGGAGCAGCCAUCGGAGGAGGAGCCAUCGGAGGAGCAAUUUUUACAGUAAAUACGGUGGCAGAGUGUGGAAAGCGCGGGAGGGAUUUCUGGCGCCUGGUCCCUUGACAGUGUUAAAAGAUGUUAGCAAAGAAGAAUCACAGCUCUAAGUUUACAGGUUGGUCACCAUCAACUAUGCACUGCAAUGUUACAUCCAACACAAAGCAAUAGAGCUUUGUGGUAGUGCUGGCAAUCUUUGGCAUGGCAAAGGAAAGGAGUCUGGUGAUCCUUCGAGCAGUUUUGGAACAUAAAAUUACAGCAUCUGAUAUAAUCUGUUAGAUACAAUUCACAUGUUGUCAGUUCGUCAGUUCAGUCAUGUUUAUCAAACUUAAAGUGCACCUUCUGUUGCCUACCAGAUCCGCAUGGAAAUGGCAUCACACAACAUUUCCUAACAAACCAUUUAAUCCCUUUGCCCUUCCUCUGUUACACGCAAGGUCAAAAUGUUGUAUUACAGCUAUUGCUCUGAAGGGUAUGCAUUUCUUAAAUGUAAAAUGUCAUGCUGUGAAACUUUUGAGAAAAAUAAAAUACCUUGAAACACAGGUUAGAUUAGCAGACUAGCAGUCUUAGAACACUAAACAUUGAAUAGCUUUUAUGUGUUUAAAAAACCCACACACAACCCUCUUCUGCCAAUCUGGCUUCCAAGUAAAUUAAGAGAAAUUGUGGCUCAGUAGCACAAGAAAAACAGAGUAGUAGAUGAUGAUUUUCACAAAGUGAUGUUUCUUGUAUGUUAUCCUGAAUUAAAUAUAACAAAAUGUAUGACUGGGACCCUUUUGCUUCUCUUUUAAAAGAUUCUUUGGUGGGGGGAGCUUUGAAUUGGUUUAUUUUUGUAAUGCUGAUAUGUACCAUACUGAUAAAAACGACAGCUUCUACAUCUUCCUGAGCCUCAGCUAUGAUGUAGCUCAUUACAUUAGCACAAAGAAAGCAGGAAAUAAAUUACCAAAGUGUAUUCAGGCAUGGCUACAGAUUUGACAGAACCUACCCUGUACAAGAUCCAUCAUUCUGGAAAGGUCCUGCAUACUGAAGGGACAAGCUUCAAUGAAAUUAAAUUCCUAAAAUAGAGGCACUCUGUUUUCCAACUCUUAAUAUCAGAUGCAAAGAGGCCUGUCAUAAACGCAAAGUGUUAUUGGAUGAAGCAGUUUCUGUUCCUUGGCAAUCAGGAUCUUUAAUUUGUGCCUUGUAAAUGAAGCAAGUUAGCAAGCAUAAGGAUGCAGUAUUUCAUUUAAGGCCUAUGGAGAUAGCUUCCACAGAGCACUAAAUCUGUUGACUUAAUCUGUGAAUGUUUGAAAUGAAACAUAUUUGGAGUGGAGUUAGUUAACCUGAAAAUGUGAACCUAAAUUCCUUGUUGAUCAAUGUCAGUUUCAUAAAUUUGCUGUGCUGAUGAUUAAUUAAACUUUCAAUAAAUUGUUCAGGGUGCAGAUUAAUACACUGCCUGUUACCUUUCCAAAAACUGGAAUGCUUACCGAAACAACAGGCAUGCCAAAGAGUAUACAUUAUUCCAGAAUAUCAAUACAAAUUUAAUUUCCCCCCUCCCCAUUAAAUGAUCUUUUCCAAUGCAGCAGCUGCAUUGUAUGACAUGUUGGAAAAGGGUAACGGUCCAAUUGCAAAGGGGAAAUAACACAGCAAAAAGCAUAAAUUAGCAUGGCUUUCUUCAGUCUUUUAGAAUGCUAAGCUGCUUAGCACACAGAUGGAAAAUAGAAUGUGUCUACAUAUGAUGCCCUUUCAGAGUAUUGAUUAAUGGCUGGCAAAAUAUUAUAUUGUGUGGAAGUUCAUUUGGAGGGAGGGGUGGGAAAUGCUGCAUAAUGCAAGCGGUUGCUUUCUCUUUACACUUUUAGACUAUCUGGAGGAUACAAAGAGAACUAGAUGUGUCAGUGAACUCCAGAAAUAUCCAGUUUCAGCUGGAUUCCCUAGGACUUGUUAAAUUGUGUCCAUUUUUUUUUUACAUCCAGCUGGACAAGCCAGAUGUAUGAAAUAAGUCUAAUUAGGUCAGGUUUGGGUUGAGCUUCUUAGGCAUGUUUGGGGGGAGGGGGGCUUUAGGUGGUGAUGCCAAGCCAUGACUGAUCAUUAGAACCUGGAGGCCUCAACCCUUACUGAAGCCUCUGUACUAGAUUGAGGUCUUCCUCGUGACCUUCUCCACCCCGUCAUGACAAGACAGAUGCAGGCCUUUGUGUGGCACAGAUGUGGCAUGCAGGGAUUGGGUGCAUUAGUAGAGCAAUGCCUGAAGCCAGAUUUGGGUCACAAACCAGUGUUGCAAUACUAGCAUCCAGAGACACUUUCUUAUGAUCUGGGAUUUAGCUAGUGACUUGCAGGAUUAUGAGAACGAUUAUUGUAAAGCCUAUGUCAUUUCUUUAUGGUUUGGGAAAUUUUACAAAAACGUAGAAAAAUCUAGAGAAAAGAAGGCAAAUGUAUCACCAUUAGGAUCUACUGAAAUCAACUGCAAGGAAGGAUUACUAAUAUGGCUUUCAACCAAUUAAAAAUUUGGUAAUUGAUUAUCUAUCUGCCUUUGAGCCAUUUUUCUGAAAUGUAAU